AGAGUUUGAUUAUGGCUCAGAUUGAACGCUGGCGGCAGGCCUAACACAUGCAAGUCGAACGGUAGCACAGAAGAGCUUGCUCUUUGGGUGACGAGUGGCGGACGGGUGAGUAAUGUCUGGGAAACUGCCCGAUGGAGGGGGAUAACUACUGGAAACGGUAGCUAAUACCGCAUAACGUCUUCGGACCAAAGUGGGGGACCUUCGGGCCUCACACCAUCGGAUGUGCCCAGAUGGGAUUAGCUAGUAGGUGGGGUAAUGGCUCACCUAGGCGACGAUCCCUAGCUGGUCUGAGAGGAUGACCAGCCACACUGGAACUGAGACACGGUCCAGACUCCUACGGGAGGCAGCAGUGGGGAAUGUUGCACAAUGGGCGCAAGUCUGAUGCAGCCAUGCCGCGUGUAUGAAGAAGGCCUUCGGGUUGUAAAGUACUUUCAGCGGGGAGGAAGGCAUUGUGGUUAAUAACCGCAGUGAUUGACGUUACCCGCAGAAGAAGCACCGGCUAACUCCGUGCCAGCCGCCGCGGUAA
rnacentral:rRNA from 1 species